rnacentral:lncRNA from 10 species
GAGAUGGUCUCCUGGUAGCCCUUGGUGAAGAACUGCAUGGCCGAGGCCGCCCUCCAGGGCGUCUUGAGCAGCCCUUGCCGCUGGGGGUUCUCGCCCAGCGAGCUCAGGAUGGACGAGUAGGCGGCUGCCAGGUUAGGGAGGUUCAGCUCGUUAUCCUCCUCGCUGCGGGGCCGCUCGCCCUUCCAGCCGUCCGCGGGCUGCGCGCUCUUGGCCUCGGGCCGCGGGGGCUUCUCCGCCGGCCUGCUGGGCCCGGGCCGCGGCGGAUCCCGCUCGGGGAACCCAUUGCUGCACCUGGCGCCCCGCGGCUUCUCCGCCGGUGCCCGCACAGGGCCCUUCUCCAUGGACCCGCCGCAGCCGCUGCCGUUCGGGAAGGACCCCGGGGCGCUUCGAGGUCUGCGGCUAAACUCCGCCGGUGGCCGCGGACAAUGGGCUGUGGCCGGAGUCACCUGAGGAAGGUACGCAACCUGCUUAGAUCACACUCCGAGCCGGGAGCGGCCACAGGCUGGAAAGCCCGGCCGCGCCUCCUUUUUAUGGCCCGGCGGCUCAGCCUGCGCCGCGGAGCGCUCCCAUUGGCCGGCCCCGCCUCGCGUCACGGCCCUCGCCGCGCCCCUCGGCCUCCCGCCCCCGGGGUCCCCAGCAGGGGUCGCGGCUCCGGAGACGCCCGGAGGGGUUCGCAAGCGCAGGGAGGGAAGGAAAAGGGCGCCGGCCCCUAGGAUCAGGCGGGACCCCUCCACUUAUUGCGGAAUGAGCCGAACCCGAAAAGAGGCAGUCGUCCAGGAGCUGGGAUCUCAGUGAGAAAGACGCGGUCUGGGCGCCCAGUCGCCCCCUCUUCAGGCCAAGAGGGCGCUGCAUUGAAGGGCUCCGGUCCCCUCGCCCUGUGAAAGAUCAGCAAACAGGUGGCCUUGCCUGGAGAGAGACCGAGUUAAGCCACCGAUUAGGAACCAACUCUUAAGCUUUCAAGGCAAGAGAAUAAUGUGACUUCAGACUCUUGGGUUUAGUUAAAAACGCACCUGCCACCUAGGGGCCAGGUGGCACCGCUGUCGGGGCAAGUGUCACAUCAAGUGGCCCUUAUGUGGGUCCCUAUGUCUAGAAGGAUAGGAUUUAUGGUUGCUAGAACUUUGAUCCUGGAAAAAUUGAUUUGCAAACGAAGAUAGGACUUUCACUUAAAAUCCAUUUCCGUCGGUGGCUCACGCCUGUACUCCCGGCGCUUGGGGAGACCGAGGCGGGAGGAUCGCUUGAGGCCAAGAGUUCGAGACCAGCCUGGAAAACAUAGCAAGACCUCAUCUCUAUAAAACCCAUCGCAUUUUCUAGAAACGCAGUUGUGCAGAUUUGGUGCUCAAUUGUUUUACAGUUCCAUGCAAAGCGUCUUUCCCCAGAUGUUGGUACAAAUUGUGAAAUGCUAUUCACCAACUGAACUCUUAACCAGUGACAUCUGCUGUAACUGUUUUCUUUGAGAUUAAUAAAUGGACCUUUUUCCUCACUUGAGGGAUUAUCUCAUAAUGCCGAAGGAUGCCAAGACAAUUUAAUGGGGAAAGAAGACUCUUUUCAACAAAUGAUACUAGGACGACUGGAUAUCUACAUACAAAAGGAAGAAGUUGAACCUCUAUCUCACAACAUAUACAAAAAUAAACUCAUCGGGUAGGUGCAGUAACAGCCACCUGUGGUCCCAGCUAUGCUGGAGGCUGAGGCUGGAGAAGUCUUGAGCCCAGGAGUUUGAGGCCAGCCGGGGCAACAUAGCGAGAUCUUAUCUCUAAAAAAUAAAACAAAAGAAAAUCAGAAUGUAAGAGGUAAAAUUAUUAAACUCUUGGAAGAAA